CCCUUGACUCUGGGAUAAGCCUGGGAAACUGGGUCUAAUACUGGAUAUGACUUCUCACCGCAUGGUGGGGGGUGGAAAGAUUUAUUGGUCUUGGAUGGACUCGCGGCCUAUCAGCUUGUUGGUUGAGGUAAUGGCUCACCAAGGCGACGACGGGUAGCCGGCCUGAAAAGGUGACCGGCCACACUGGGACUGAGACACGGCCCAGACUCCUACGGGAGGCAGCAGUGGGGAAUAUUGCACAAUGGGCGCAAGCCUGAUGCAGCGACGCCGCGUGAGGGAUGACGGCCUUCGGGUUGUAAACCUCUUUCAGUAGGGAAGAAGCGAAAGUGACGGUACCUGCAGAAGAAGCGCCGGCUAACUACGUGCCAGCAGCCGCGGUAAUACGUAGGGCGCGAGCGUUAUCCGGAAUUAUUGGGCGUAAAGAGCUCGUAGGCGGUUUGUCGCGUCUGCCGUGAAAGUCCGGGGCUUAACCCCGGAUCUGCGGUGGGUACGGGCAGACUAGAGUGCAGUAGGGGAGACUGGAAUUCCUGGUGUAGCGGUGAAAUGCGCAGAUAUCAGGAGGAACACCGAUGGCGAAGGCAGGUCUCUGGGCUGUAACUGACGCUGAGGAGCGAAAGCAUGGGGAGCGAACAGGAUUAGAUACCCUGGUAGUCCAUGCCGUAAACGUUGGGCACUAGGUGUGGGGGACAUUCCACGUUUUCCGCGCCGUAGCUAACGCAUUAAGUGCCCCGCCUGGGGAGUACGGCCGCAAGGCUAAAACUCAAAGGAAUUGACGGGGGCCCGCACAAGCGGCGGAGCAUGCGGAUUAAUUCGAUGCAACGCGAAGAACCUUACCAAGGCUUGACAUGUUCCUGACCGCCGUAGAGAUACGGUUUCCCCUUUGGGGCAGGUUCACAGGUGGUGCAUGGUUGUCGUCAGCUCGUGUCGUGAGAUGUUGGGUUAAGUCCCGCAACGAGCGCAACCCUCGUUCCAUGUUGCCAGCACGUACUGGUGGGGACUCAUGGGAGACUGCCGGGGUCAACUCCGGAGGAAGGGGGGGACGACGUCAAAUCAUCAUGCCCCUUAUGUCUUGGGCUUCAC
rnacentral:rRNA from 1 species